UCGGGGUCGGGGAUAGCCAGUAGGGAAACUGUGGGUAAUACCCGAUAAUCUCUGCGGAGCAAAGGUGUGAUUCCGCCUGAGGAGCGGCCUACACGAUAUUAGCUAGUUGGUAGGGUAAUGGCCUACCAAGGCUACGAUGUCGUAGGGGGUGUGAGAGCAUGGCCCCCACGACCGGAACUGAGAUACUGUCCGGACACCUACGGGUGGCUGCAGUCGAGAAUCUUCCGCAAUGGACGAAAGUCUGACGGAGCGACGCCGCGUGCGGGAUGAAGGCCCUUGGGUUGUAAACCGCUGUCAGAGGGGAUGAAAUCUUCGGAGGUGCUCCUCCAAAGUUGACAGAGCCUCAAAGGAAGCACGGGCUAAGUACGUG
rnacentral:rRNA from 1 species